GUGGUGGCUCAGUGGUAGAGCGCUUGCCUGGCACAUGUGAGGUACUGGCUUCGAUCCUCAGCACCACA
rnacentral:tRNA from 1 species